rnacentral:rRNA from 1 species
UACGAAGGGGGCUAGCGUUGUUCGGAAUUACUGGGCGUAAAGCGUAUGCAGGCGGAUCGUUAAGUCGGGGGUGAAAUCCCGAGGCUCAACCUCGGAACUGCCUUCGAUACUGGCGACCUUCGAGUCCGGGAGAGGUGAGUGGAAUUCCCAGUGUAGUGGUGAAAUACGUAGAGAUUGGGAAGAACACCAGUGGCGAAGGCGGCUAUCUGGACGGUUUCUGACGCUAAGACGCGAAAGCGUGGGGAGCAAACAGG